rnacentral:misc_RNA from 1 species
UGAAGAAAAAUCAGAUGACUUGUAUUCCAGCAAUUAUUCUGUUUGUUUACAAUUUGCCUAUUGGGAGUGAUGCAUUGCCCGCUGCAGCUAUCCCUUUGUUAUCCCCUACUAAAUUUGUAAGUACAAAAACUUAUCUUUUAGGACCAAUCAAGGUCAACUUCCAACCUAAAUCCCCGGUUAGAAGACCAAAAAGGGCCCAUUAAAUGAGGAAUACAAAAAAUAAAAUAAAAUCAUCAAGCCUAAGUAAUAAUAUUUUUCUAUGCUACGUUUGAGGGAUCAGGGAUGCACCAUUCUUGACUCUUGUAUCUGGAAUUUUAACACCAUUCACCACAAAUGAUCCACAUGAUACAUGUCCUCCUAUCCUCUACUAAUAAUGGAUCAGACCUUGUAUUCUCCAAGAUGCAUCCACUUUGUUGCUGACCAUUUGUUCCCUCUAAUCACAGGACAACUACCAUGCAAACUUGAAGGAUCUACCGUAGCAUCAGGACUUGUGCUCCAAAACAGCAAUGCAUUACCCAUUUUCGGUUUCACUGAAAGGCCCUGUUUGCCACAUUCAGACAACUCAUUCCACCA